GGAAUAAUAGCAAAGUUGGUCAAUGCGCUGGAUUGAAGCUCCAGAGAUACAGGUUCGAAUCCUGUUUGUUCCA
rnacentral:tRNA from 1 species